ACACUGGUGGUGUAAGUGGAUAACAUGCUGACAGCCUUGGCUUGUCCUAGCAGCUCAGUGACGGGGGUUCGAAUCCCUCCCAGUGUG